UUUUAAAACUAAGUAAAGCUAAGCACUAACAAUUUUAAGAUAAUAAAAGAGAAGCUGAAGUCACAAACAAAAAAUGCCAUAAUGGAGAAGUAUGGAAAUGCUGCAGCCUACGAAGAGCUUCCAAAGGAGCUUCUUUUGGGGCAGAGAGACAAGUAAAGUAUGAUAGGGCUGACAGAAUUAUAGAAGGCCUGGAACAGAAUCAGAAAAAGCUUCGAAAGGCUGUCUCGGAGGUGUCGAAGGAAAUUGAAUGAUACUACAAUGAGUUGAAGUUGGAGAAGAAACUUGGUGCUAUUGAAGAGGUGGAGCAAGCUGAAUGCCAAUCUUUAUUUAGGUUGGAAAAAUUCUUACAUUGAAUAUGGUACAUCUUUAUUUAGGUUGGAAAUUUAAUCCAGAUAGUACCUAUAUCUUUGUUAUUUUAACUUUGAUACAUUAUCAUCUGGAAUUUGAAUUGACCCUAACAUGCUAAAAUUUUUUAGGGUUCUAGUUGCUUUAGUUUUAAGUUGGAUUAUCCUUCCUUUUUCACAAAUGAUUUAAAGGGGUUAAGUCAUGAUAUCUGACUAGAAGUCUUACAAGUAGUGAUGCAAACUAGUUGCUUGCUUGGUGAUUAUUAUAUUUAUAGGUUUUUCAUGAACUAAGGGUGUUGAUAUUUAUUUAUUUAUUCAUCUUUGUAUUGCCUAUAAUGGAAUAUUUGAUAUUUCA